rnacentral:rRNA from 1 species
AUUGAACGCUGGCGGCAGGCUUAACACAUGCAAGUCGAGCGAGCGGCGGACGGGUGAGUAAUGUCUGGGGAACUGCCUGAUAGAGGGGGAUAACUACUGGAAACGGUAGCUAAUACCGCAUACCAUCAGAUGUGCCCAGAUGGGAUUAGCUAGUAGGUGGGGUAAUGGCUCACCUAGGCGACGAUCCCUAGCUGGUCUGAGAGGAUGACCAGCCACACUGGAACUGAGACACGGCCCAGACUCCUACGGGAGGCAGCAGUGGGGAAUAUUGCACAAUGGGCGCAAGCCUGAUGCAGCCAUGCCGCGUGUGUGAAGAAGGCCUUAGGGUUGUAAAGUACUUUCAGCGGGGAGGCGUUACUCGCAGAAGAAGCACCGGCUAACUCCGUGCCAGCAGCCGUGGUAAUUC